CUAGAGACAACCAGCCAUGGUUCUUUCCGUGUGUUUCCCACAUGGAAGGCUAAGAGGGAAACCGGUGCAAUACCGGUGCUGCCCCCGCAACUGUAUGCUGUGAGGCUGUCGGAACAAACGCCACUGUUAUCUUCGAUUGAUGACGGGAAGGCUCCGACCUGCCGAUGACCAGCAAGCCAGGAGACCUGCCAUAGCGUGAAAGUCACG
rnacentral:ncRNA from 2 species